CUCCCCGCGCCCAGUUUUCUCUACCCCACGUCCGAGCGGUUUUCCCCCCACCCCCUUCCCCAGCUCGCAGAUGCGGAGCGCCGCCGCCAAUCCCUGUGCCCUGCGUCGCCGGCCGCGCGAUUCCCUGGCGUCCGUGCCGCCCGGCGAGCUGCAGCGUCUGCUCCCGCCGCGGCCCCUCUCUGGUGCGUCCCCUCUCUCCUGCUCCAGUCACCGUCGCCCCGAGGAGCUUCCUCGUUGAUGUGUGGAUCUGUCAUUCCAGUCGUCUGCGAUCGAGCCCGCGAGCGGAUGCGGCAAACUAAUCUGCAUGCAUCGAGUUCCCACUUGCGUGAUGAUGCAGCAGCCAAAACAAGGACCCGGAGUCACGGACACGACGCCAACGCACACUUCCCCACCCCCGAUUCUCCCCUGCGAUCAAUGAUAGCGCCAGCAGCCUUAGCAGCAUGCACAGUAGGAAUUCCAGGCAAUGGCAUUUCCGUCCGGCUACCAAAAUUAAGAAUUGGACUGCGUGAAGCCUUUGGUUGAACUCUAGCAAAAAAAAAAGCAAAAAGAAAAAGAGAAAACUGCAGCCUAUGUGGAUCAGAUAAAACACAGUUUCGCCUGAUGGGUGCAGCUCCAAUGCUCGAUGUACAACUCAGUAGCCUUCCUGUAUGCCUGCAUUGGCUUUCUAGCAGUGGAUGUUGUGGAGGUAUCUCUAGAUCCGCAGGACUUUGGACCUUUUGCUUCAAUUGGUUUUGGUGAUAUCUUUCCUUAACGAUCUUCUCCAAUGCUAGACGUGAUGGUAACCGUACAAGAAUUCAAGGAAGAAGUGCUUACCCAAAUUGCAUCAACUUGCACACUUGCAGCAGCGUCUCCGAGUUUGCCCACGUGGUCACGGCUCUUGACUUGCCCCAGCAGCUCCUUGGUGAGAUGCUAGUACAAUAACCACACAGGGUCCGCAAUUGCAUUUAACUUUCAGGUUCAAGUGGUGACUGCAUCCUAUCUCUCCCCUCGCCUGUGGAUAUCUUCAGAACGAUGAGCUCUGAUUCCCCGGUUUAAGUCUGCAGUAUGUUUUGGGGUCAGAGGUUGGUGUAUGAUGCCUAUCAAUCCAAGGAUUGCAGUCUUUGUGACCUCGUGGUUCCCUUGACAAGAACAAGGAGCGCUACUUGCUGGCAAUGACGCACUUUGCUGACACGAGGCGUAACCCAUCAUGCCUGAAGGGAGCACAACGCCAAGGCUCGAACAAGCUGGCCUCCUCCAUGGAAGAGGCAUAACAGGUUCCAAUGUUUUGUAUUCUAAUUUCCUAUCAUUGAUGUUGAGUGAUUAGUAAAUUGGGCAACCAAAAUGUAUCUCUCAUCAAUUCUUGGGUGGUGACCUCCAUGGGCGCUCCUCUUGUACGUAUCCAGGACCCGUAAUUACAAAUUAGUAGCUAAUCAAAAGACUUGCUGUCCGAGGCAGACCAAGCUUUAUUAGCUAUACACUCAUUUGGUUCCUCUAGCCAACUAUGCAUUUGGGAUUCUCAUAUAAAUACAAAUACGCCCUAUAUGUCAUUCUUCAUAGUAUGAUAGAAAAUGACCAUUCAUAACUCUUUUUAUGGCGUGAUGAUGUAUUAAAGAAAUCGUGGGUUCAUGCCUGAUGUGUACGUGAAGGCCGGCGUAUACAUGUUUUCUUUCGUUCACUUGUAUAUCGAUCAAUCACCGAGUAGAUUCUAGAUUCAAUAUAUAUAUAAAUUGUCUCUUGUAUACUUUGUUCAAUCUAUAUUAAGAGUUUGAAAUGAAUUGUUUGUUGGAA